rnacentral:rRNA from 1 species
CCCUAUGGGGUGCCAAUGUGAAGGUGGUCAUGACGGACCAUGCUCAGGAAUUCAUGACGCCCAUGACGGUCCAGAGCCUGUCGCGCAACCCUGUGUUUACGGACAUGUUUUCCCUGAUCAAGGAUUAUGAUAUUGCCCAUAUCUCUCUGGCGGAGUAUGCAGACAUUGCCGUCAUCGCACCGGCAACUGCCAACGUGAUCGGAAAAAUCGCCGCCGGGAUCGCCGAUGACCUGUUGACGACUGUGGUCAUGGCCACAAGGGCACCGGUUUUGAUUUGUCCGGCCAUGAACAUGCACAUGUACGAAAAUCCCAUCGUUCAAGAGAACAUUGCUAGGCUUGCCACCUUGGGCUAUUGUUUUGUGGAACCCGGAUAUGGGGAGCUUGCCUGUAAGGUGACCGGACUGGGGCGGCUGGCCGAGGUGCCGGAAAUCAGGGAGGCGAUUGAAACCACUCUGACGGAAAAUGAAUUGGCGGGAGGGC